rnacentral:rRNA from 1 species
GUCCGCACGAGCGCAACCCUCGACCUUAGUUGCCAGCAUUCAGUUGGGCACUCUAAGGUGACUGCCGGCUAAAAGUCGGAGGAAGGUGGGGAUGACGUCAAAUCAUCAUGCCCCUUAUGACCUGGGCUACACACGUGCUACAAUGGGCGGUGCAAAGGGUCGCGAACCCGCGAGGGGGAGCCAAUCCCAAAAAAGCCGCUCUCAGUUCGGAUUGCAGGCUGCAACUCGCCUGCAUGAAGCCGGAAUCGCUAGUAAUCGCGGAUCAGCAUGCCGCGGUGAAUACGUUCCCGGGCCUU